UCUCUCCCUCGCACGCUCUCACACUCUCAUGAACCUGAAUCCCUCAAUCCACCCUCAAUCCCUUUCACCCUCUCCAGUUCACACACACUCCCAUCCUCCUGCGAUUCCGGCAAAGCAAGUUUGGAUAGAAGCUUGAGGACUGAACCCCAACUCCAAAAUCAAGACCAGAGAAGCUUCGACUUUCAGGGUUGAUUUUAAAUAGGACCUACAAAAGAGACAUUUCAAAUCAUGAGAUCACAAUUUGGAUGGUCCUCACAUGUUGUCCUCAGAGCCUUCAAACUUAGGGGCAGGGCAUGUUGCUGGUGUACAGACGAUUAUGAGUGCUAGGGUUCCUAUAAUCAAGCUUGUAGACUGUGGAACCGGAAUUGAGUGUGAUUUAUCAAUUGAGAACAGGGAUGGCAUUGUAAAAUCCCAGAUUGUCUACAUAAUAUCUAGAAUUGACGAAAGGUUUCAGAAACUGAGUUUUAUGGAAGAGAACAUUUGACGAAGCUAACUUCACCCGGUACCUUUAACAGCACCAGGUUAUGAAUUUUGACGUCUAUGAUCUGAAUUUGUUUAACCUUUUGAUUUGGGUAUGGGUUUUUAGUGUACUAUUGUGUUCAAACUAGUUGGAAUUGAAGUGAUUUGCAACAAACCAAGUUUCAUAGAAUUGUUGUUCUUUUGGAACUAUUUGUGGCUCUCUGUUUGAUUAUUCAUGUUCCUGCAGCUGAAAUUCCGUAUCUAACAUUUCGACAUGAACCUCCUGAAGGGCAAGAUCUCAUACUCAAUUUAGUGGCCAUUUGACCAGCCUCUCAGCUACCUGCGAAUCUAUCUCGCCGAUCUAUGGGAUACUGGUAUUGGGAUGACG